CCGAAUGGCGUGACCUAAAGUCAUCAAUGUAGGCUCUGAAGCAAGAUUGCAACUUGUAGUAGGAUGAUAUUUAGUUGAAAAUCCGUUGUUUAGUGUGGAAGGCGGUAUGGCUACAGGAAGGACCGUAAGUUCCGGUCGGCACCUUUAACUUCGAUAAUAGUCGUUCCUCUCGCUUCGAACGUAAGCCGUUUGGAAGAAUGUGGUGGUGGCUGGUUCUUCGUGCCACAGGUACAGGCAUUAGGAAAUAUGGGUAGAAUAAACCCACUUCGUGUGGAACAAACAAUUUAAAAGUUGUCCUAAGCCACACCGGCUUCCCACGAGCAAUACCAGGCUAGAAAACGGUGUCAUUUCCUUCACACCAUCAAACAACGCACGCACACACACACACCCGGUGUUAUCCUAGCUCCUUAAGGUUCGUGGUACGACCGUCUUCAUUUUCGUAAAUGGAAAUUAACACAUGAUGAGGUGUUUGAGUAGUGAAAACAGGUCAACUCGAUGAUAGUGGAAACGAAUUAUUGCGGAAGCUACUAAUUCAUCGUUAAUGGUAAUCAGUUACAAAGUUGUAACUAUGACUAUGUAACAGCACAGCAUAGUAUAGGAGAGGGUGGUCGUGUUCUAAUUGGAAAAUGGCUCAAUAGUGUUGGACAUUUACUUGUUCCGAUUAAAUGAAUUCCGGGACCGGCAGCCCUGUGCUUAGGUAAUAUGAAUGAUUAAAUGUUUAAUAUAUCUCUGCUCAUGUGGCAUGCUGUAACCUUCGGCCAGGGACAUUAUCUUUGAAUAAACACAGCUCGUAACAUGCCAUGCACAA